AUGUUGUAUGAAAGGAAAGAGAUUAAAAGGAUGGAAGAAGUCUUAGUAGCCUAUAAAACACACGUGACUAUGGCAUUGCCACUUAGUUUGUGGCAUUUGACUUCUUUUU